GAUCAUGGCUCAGGACGAACGCUGGCGGCGCGCCUAACACAUGCAAGUCGAACGAGAGAGAAGGAGCUUGCUUCUUCGAUCGAGUGGCGAACGGGUGAGUAACGCGUGAGGAACCUGCCUCAAAGAGGGGGACAACAGUUGGAAACGACUGCUAAUACCGCAUAAGCCCACGACCCGGCAUCGGGUAGAGGGAAAAGGAGCAAUCCGCUUGAGAUGGCCUCGCGUCCGAUUAGCUAGUUGG
rnacentral:rRNA from 1 species